AAAGACGGUCUUGCUGUCACUUAUAGAUGGAUCCGCGCUGCAUUAGCUAGUUGGUAAGGUAACGGCUUACCAAGGCAACGAUGCAUAGCCGACCUGAGAGGGUGAUCGGCCACACUGGAACUGAGACACGGUCCAGACUCCUACGGGAGGCAGCAGUAGGGAAUCUUCCGCAAUGGGCGAAAGCCUGACGGAGCAACGCCGCGUGAGUGAUGAAGGUCUUCGGAUCGUAAAACUCUGUUAUUAGGGAAGAACAUAUGUGUAAGUAACUGUGCACAUCUUGACGGUACCUAAUCAGAAAGCCACGGCUAACUACGUGCCAGCAGCCGCGGUAAUACGUAGGUGGCAAGCGUUAUCCGGAAUUAUUGGGCGUAAAGCGCGCGUAGGCGGUUUUUUAAGUCUGAUGUGAAAGCCCACGGCUCAACCGUGGAGGGUCAUUGGAAACUGGAAAACUUGAGUGCAGAAGAGGAAAGUGGAAUUCCAUGUGUAGCGG
rnacentral:rRNA from 1 species